rnacentral:rRNA from 1 species
UACGUAGGGUGCGAGCGUUGUCCGGAAUUAUUGGGCGUAAAGAGCUCGUAGGCGGUGUGUCACGUCGGCCGUGAAAACCUGCAGCUUAACUGUGGGCGUGCGGUCGAUACGGGCAUCACUGGAGUUCGGCAGGGGAGACUGGAAUUCCUGGUAUAGCGGUGAAAUGCGCAGAUAUCAGGAGGAACAUCGGUGGCGAAGGCGGGUCUCUGGGCCGAUACUGACGCUGAGGAGCGAAAGCGUGGGGAGCAAACAGG